ensembl:snRNA
GCAUUAUAUGAAAGGAGAGAGGGAACAUUCCCCUUGAUAAGGAUAGAAGAUGCCCUAGUGGCCGUUACAACACAUAUAUGGCUUAGGCAUUGUCACCUACUCUGUGGCAUUUAAACAUGUUUUUAG